AAAGUUUUAAGUUAAUUAAACUAUUAACCUUCAAAGUUUAAUAAAUGUAAUACAUAAGCUUUA
rnacentral:tRNA from 1 species